UCCUACGGGAGGCAGCAGUGGGGAAUAUUGCACAAUGGGCGGAAGCCUGAUGCAGCGACGCCGCGUGGGGGAUGACGGCCUUCGGGUUGUAAACUCCUUUCACCAUCGACGAAGGUUUUCUGACGGUAGAUGGAGAAGAAGCACCGGCUAACUCCGUGCCAGCAGCCGCGGUAAUACGUAGGGUGCGAGCGUUGUCCGGAAUU
rnacentral:rRNA from 1 species